UACGGAGGGGGCUAGCGUUGUUCGGAAUUACUGGGCGUAAAGCGCACGUAGGCGGCUUUGCAAGUUAGAGGUGAAAGCCCGGAGCUUAACUCCGGAAUUGCCUUUAAAACUGCAUCGCUAGAAUUGUGGAGAGGUGAGUGGAAUUCCGAGUGUAGAGGUGAAAUUCGUAGAUAUUCGGAAGAACACCAGUGGCGAAGGCGACUCACUGGACACAUAUUGACGCUGAGGUGCGAAAGCGUGGGGAGCAAACAGG
rnacentral:rRNA from 1 species